GAUGAAGAACGUAGCGAAAUGCGAUAAGUAAUGUGAAUUGCAGAAUUCAGUGAAUCAUCGAAUCUUUGAACGCACAUUGCGCCCCUUGGUAUUCCGAGGGGCAUGCCCGUUCGAGCGUCAUUAUACCCCUCAAGCCUAGCUUGGUGUUGGGGCCUGCUGUUACCGGCAGCCCUUAAAAUCAGUGGCGGUGCCAUCUGGCUCUAAGCGUAGUAAUACUUCUCGCUACAGGGUCCCGGUGGAUGCUUGCCAUCAACCCCUAAUUUUCUAUGGUUGACCUCAGAUCGGGUAGGGAUACCCGCUGAACUUAAGCAUAUCAAUAAGCGGAGGA
rnacentral:misc_RNA from 1 species